CCCUUAGAUGUCCUGGGCUGCACGCGCGCUACACUGGUGUGUCCAGUAAGCACCUAACCUAUUCCGAGAGGAGCGGGUAACCUUAGCAAAGCACAUCGUGAUGGGGAUAGAUUAUUGCAAUUAUUAGUCUUGAACGAGGAAUUCCUAGUAAGCACAAGUCAUCAGCUUGUGUUGAUUACGUCCCUGCCCUUUGUACACACCGCCCGUCGCUCCUACCGAUUGAAUGUUCCGGUGAGCUCUUCGGACUGCGCGGUCUGCAGUUUCUGCGUUCCGUGCGGAAAGUUGUGCAAACCUUAACAUUUAGAGGAAGGAGAAGUCGUAACA
rnacentral:rRNA from 1 species